CUAUGCGCCUUGCCAGCCCGCUCAGAAACUUAAAGGAAUUGGACGGGGGCCCGCACAAGCGGAGGAGCAUGUGGUUUAAUUCGAUGAUACGCGAGGAACCUUACCUGGGCUUAAAUGCUUAAUGACGUACUGGGAAACUGGUAUUUCUUCGGACAUUUUGCAAGGUGCUGCAUGGUUGUCGUCAGCUCGUGCCGUGAGGUGUCGGGUUAAGUCCCAUAACGAGCGCAACCCCUAUUGUUAGUUGCCAUCAGGUCAUGCUGGGGACUCUAACAAAACUGCCCGCGUAAGCGUGGAGGAAGGUGGGGAUGACGUCAAAUCAGCACGGCCCUUACGUCCAGGGCUACACACGUGCUACAAUGGCCGGUACAGAGGGCAGCCACUUGGUGACAAGGAGCAAAUCUCAAAAGCCGGUCUCAGUUCGGAUCGGAGUCUGCAACUCGACUCCGUGAAGUUGGAUUCGCUAGUAAUCGUAGAUCAGCAAUGCUACGGUGAAUACGUUCCCGGGCCUU
rnacentral:rRNA from 1 species